AAGGCGUGGUUAUCCUUUUGGCAUCCUUACCUUGUCUCCCAGUCUGUUUUCAAGCAGACGUUAUUUCCAGUAAAACGACAAUCGCAGUAUUUCCAUACGGACACCUCUCUGCAGAGUCAACACAUCACCGUGCACACUAUGUUAAAAUUUAGUCCGCUGCGUUUGAGACAAGGACACAUCUUGAAAUCUGGGAAAUGCUGUAGAAAAGGACGAGGCCAGGGAGAAGUUGUGGUUACAUGGAUGUUCUUCACCCCUGUGAAUAAAUGCAGUCCUCAAGCUACAGCGUCGCAUGUAAUUUGCCAAGCUCUGCUACUAUGCUCAGCUAUUCCCUCUUCUCAAUUAACCUUGAAAAGCUGAGAGAUACUUCCCUGCUGAUUUCUGGAUUGCCC
rnacentral:lncRNA from 1 species